GUCAUUUUCAUUUCAACCUCUUCUGCUCUCUCUCUCAGCAUUGAGCAACGCUGUCAAUGGAAGUAGCUACUGCAACAGCAUCGAGCCUCGCGCUCCACACGCGCUUCUUAGCAUUUCCACAGGCUUCUUCACGAACCUCUAGCUCCAACCGAACCCUAUGUUUCGCUUCCUCAUCUUCUUCUCUCAAGACUUCUUUCUCAACAAGCUUUUUCUCCUCCUUCGCUGGCGGCGGAAGUGUUAUUGGCGAUUUCUCUGGCAUCAAAAUCCGACCUGAAUGUCUCAGUCCAGCAUCAAUUUCGAGUUCGAAAGGUAAAAGAAGCGUGGUCACUAUGGUUAUUCCUUAUACUAGGGGAAGUGCGUGGGAGCAACCUCCCCCUGACUUAGCAUCUUACCUGUUCAAGAAUCGGAUUGUUUACUUGGGCAUGUCUCUUGUACCUUCUGUCACAGAGUUAAUACUUGCAGAAUUUCUUUACCUUCAGUAUGAGGAUGAAGAGAAACCUAUUUACCUCUAUAUAAACUCCACUGGUACAACCAAGGGUGGUGAAAAGCUGGGUUAUGAGACAGAGGCUUUUGCAAUCUAUGAUGUUAUGGGGUCAUAAGCUUAAUGCCCUUCCACAUGAUGGAAUUUUUUUUUUUUUUAAUAUGAAAUUCUGUUAAGCCAUUCAUCCUUAAACCCAUCUCCUCCUCCCACACCACUCCCCCCGAACCCCCUCCCCCAAUCCCCGCCCCCCCCAGCUCCCCCCACCCCCCGCCCCCCAAAACCACCUCUUCCUUUUUCCCUGCAUUUUUCUGUCAUAAUCAUGCUGAGGCCUCAUGGUAGCAUGGAGAUAUCUGACCAUGAAAUUUUACUACUGUGUUUGACACUAACUGGACAUAAGAUCGGGUUUAAAUUUUCCCAACUUGCAUGUACCAAUGCAUUGUGUGGUUGGAUUCUUCAUUUUAUCUGAUCUAAACUAUUGAAGGAUAGUUCACUUUAACAUAGCAAGUGGUUAUUCUAACAAUUAAGUAUUGGGAUGAAUUAUCCAAAUCUGACUGGGAUCCUAAUAAGAAAUACCUUCAUUACUAAUGUAAGCCAGCUUGAUGUGAAUUAUAUGAAGGAAAACUUUGCAUUAAAUAUGUAAUUACCAUCUUCUAAUUAGUUUUAGCCAUAUGCAUAUUAGAAGCGCAAUUUAUUUUCCCUCACAAAUUACAGACACAUAUUUGCAUUCAUUGUAUAGGGACAUAUCAUGGAUUCUUUGCUUAUUUCAAAGCCCACCGGCAGAUAUUCAUAGAAAUAGACUUAGUUCUGAUAUGAGUACGACAUGCUUGUUGCGAGACAUGUCUCUUGAAUCAUAGAGAUAAUUGUUCAUUUGUUCCUUUCAUCUGUGUCUGUGUUCUAUUCUUUGAUGUGCAGUAAGUUUACUGUAAAAUUUUGUUAUGAACACCAUAAACCACCUUACUGUUAAGGAUAAUUUAUAUUGUCUAUUUUGCAUAUGGCUGACUUAUUUUGCUGCAGGUAUGUCAAGCCACCUAUAUUUACCCUCUGUGUUGGUAACGCUUGGGGAGAAGCAGCUUUACUUCUGGCUGCUGGGUCAAAGGGAAAUCGAUCUGCACUACCUUCAUCAACUAUCAUGAUAAAACAGGUGUUUUCUUGACUAUUUGAUGCUGCAAUCUGUUCUUUUAAUAUAUUGCUACCAGAUACUUCUAACAUGAAAAUCUGUCAUUCUUUUGGCCUUUUUUUCCUACCAAUCUACAGCCAAUAGGAAGAUUUCAAGGUCAAGCAACAGAUGUCGACCUUGCAAGAAAAGAAGUCAAGAAUGUGAAAGCAGAAUUGGUAAAAUUAAUAGUGGCUUUGGUGUUUCUGUCUGAUUAGAUAUUACUCAUUUUAAUUCUAUUUUUCCAAUCUCUAGAAUACCACACUUGCUGACUACCCGGAAUCAUAGUUCUUUGGUAGGGUUUGGUCAUAAUUUUUCUAACCAUUCUGAAUGGUUACCUAAAAUAGAUUAUGCCACAAUACAUCAACAUAUGACAAUGGAGAGAGAUAUGUACUACAUUAUCUUUCCUCUAUCUACUAUAUCGUAAAGGUCAUUUUUUCAAAAAGAUAUAUAUAUAUAUAUAUCUUACAGGUCAAUCUCCUGGCAAAGCAUAUUGGAAAAUCACCUGAACAGAUUGAAGCAGACAUCAGUCGCCCAAAAUAUUUUAAUCCAGCUGAGGCAGUUGAAUAUGGCAUCAUAGACAAGGUACUAUAUAAUGAAAGGAGCACCAAAGACCGUGGAGUUGUUUCUGACCUUAAAAAGGCACAGCUUAUAUGAUUGACAGAAAUUUAGAUUGGUGAUUGUUGUGAGUAAUCAGAGAAGGUACAUCUGCAAGUCAUUGUCAGAUUUUGAUGAUGUGAAAUUUCUUUUGAACAUAAAAUUUAAUUGUUUUAUAAUAGUAUAUCUAUUAGUUCAUAAGUGACAUUCAUCGCUUCCUUUCUUCCAACAAAGUGUAUGAAAAUUCUCAACUUUUCCUUAAAUUCUCAACCAGGCCGUAAAUUGAUCUCUUGUGCCACAUUUGAAACUUACUACAAUUUUGACAGUGCUUAAGACGGAUACUGAAUUUAGUCACUUGAAUAAGUGCAGGUCAUCUUGGAAAAUUUUAUUUUUAGACAUAUUUUGACAACCACCAACCCCCCUUCCCCCUCCCUCCUCUCCCUCUCUAGGUAUGGCCUUGGUAACUGGCUGGAGCAACGUAUAGACUACCAGUGUGCUGACCAGAAUACCUCUGCACACUGAUAAAAUUAUUAUUAUCGAUUCACUGCCCCUCAUUAAGCUGUAUAUGACCUAUCCUGUGGGAUAUCUUUAAUCACUUAUCAUAUACCUUACAUUCAUGGAUCCACUUAGCACCUGUUGCUAUUCUUAACUACUUCACUGCUCUAGUAUGUAACUUGAAGUAUACUCUGGAACUGAACGCAAUUGCUUGUUCUUUUCAUGGCCACGCCACCUUAAAAUUAUUACAGAAUCUUUCUUCCUGAAAUUUCAGUAGAAAGACACCUGGAAAAGUAUAUUAGCCAAGUUGUAGAUUGACUGUACAUUUAAACAUGGGUUAUUACACCUUGCAUUUGCCUUUUUCAUUGUAUGCAUUUUUUAUUGUUCUGUAAGAUUGUUGGAUUUGAUAUUGGAAAUUAUUGAAAAGGCAAUGUUAAUUGGUGGUGUACUUUAUUUUCUGGUAACAUCAGUUUCAUUCACCACUAUACAACCCUCGGUCCCUUUUUUGAUCCUCAAAUUAGCAAAUGUAGGGAGGGGAUGCUACUUGGUGGCAAUUCUUUUUGUUUUUUAUUAUCAACCAUACACAUCUAAGGUUCCAAAUAUCAACAGCAUCUCUUCCAUUAUGUCUCCAGUGGUUAGGGCACCGUGUUGAGAGAUAUCAUAUUACAUAAGCCAUAAUGGCAAUAUAGUGACAGUCACUAUCUUAACUAUGCUCUCUCUUUCUCUUUCUCUCUCU
rnacentral:misc_RNA from 1 species